rnacentral:misc_RNA from 1 species
UUGUAUUUCCUGCUGCAGUCAUUGCUUCUCUUGUAUGACCUACAGUUGGUAAUUUUGUGCAUACAAUUCUAUGUGCGCCAAUAUUACCUAAUGUGUAAACAUUUGACUCACCUAUAACAAAAAUAAUCUUAUUUUGCAUUGAAAUAAUCCUCUACCAUUAGUAAUUUUAAAAUAUGUGUAUGAUACAUGUGCACUGUGCUACUAUUAAAAAAUUGGUAUUGUAUUUGUGCACAGCAAAGAAGGACAUGUGAUCGCAGCAAGAUCGCAACGGCAACAGUCGCAUGUCUGCACUGGGCUUUAAUAUGUGUGUGCUAUAAAUUUAACUUAAUUUGCUAAUAUUGCUGAGAAAGUAAAUGGUUGAAGAUGAAGACAUAAUACAUGAGAUGAUAAUCUGAAUGAAUUUCAUUACAACACAGCAAUAUG